ACACCUCCUGCCUACAACGCUCAGCACCUCACCGACAGCCUCCUCUACCUAUAUCUCUAGAUUUUUCCGUCACUUGCAUGCCAACCAUACUCCUUUAGUUCUCAGAACCAGAGGUUACACCCACUAAUCUCGUCAGCAUCCACCUAAAACCCAAACCACCUUUCCUACCCAACCUUGCCAAGAACGAAGAAACCAGCCAUGGCAACGGGUUAGAAGCCACUGAAGUCCCUAUCUUUUUCUGUUGCCGAGUGUAGAAGCUUGGGCUUUGGAAAUUAGACUGAGAUCGGUUCCCUCCUAAGGUUUGGAAUUGGGGAGAAGUAGAGAAUUGGAGCUGGAGUUAAUCGAAAGUCUUUGUCAGCUGAAAGGUGGAAUUGUGCAGUACAUAAAUUGAGGAAGAAGGUUUCUGGGUGAAGGUAGUGUUGACGGCAACUGACCAAAUUGAGUGACCCAGGCUUAAUCAACGACGGUGAUAACUCGGAGAUUGCCUAAGCAUGGAUUCCAGGAACUGAGCAGGAGCUAGCUGAGGACCAGACUUAGACACUAGGGUGUUGGCAUC